UACGAAGGGGGCUAGCGUUGCUCGGAAUCACUGGGCUUAAAGCGUGUGUAGGCGGAAUGGUAAGUACCUUGUGAAAUCCCACGGCUCAACCGUGGAACUGCUGGGUAUACUGCUUUUCUUGAGCCACUUAGGGGCUGUCGGAACAAACGGUGGAGCGGUGAAAUGCGUAGAUAUCGUUUGGAACGCCAAUGGUGAAAACAGGUCGCUGGGGUUGUGCUGACGCUGAGACACGAAAGCCAGGGGAGCGAACGGG
rnacentral:rRNA from 1 species